rnacentral:rRNA from 1 species
UACGGAGGGUGCAAGCGUUAUCCGGAUUCACUGGGUUUAAAGGGUGCGUAGGUGGGUCUGUAAGUCCGUGGUGAAAUCUCCGAGCUUAACUUGGAAACUGCCAUGGAUACUAUAGGUCUUGAAUGCCGUGGAGGUCAGCGGAAUAUGUCAUGUAGCGGUGAAAUGCUUAGAUAUGACAUAGAACACCAAUUGCGAAGGCAGCUGGCUACACGAAUAUUGACACUGAGGCACGAAAGCGUGGGGAGCAAACAGG